GACAGAGGGUGCAAACGUUGUUCGGAUUUACUGGGCGUAAAGCGUGUGUAGGCGGCUUGGCAAGUUGGAUGUGAAAGCCCACGGCUCAACCGUGGAAGCGCAUCCAAAACUGCUUCGCUCGAGUCUCGGAGAGGAAGGUGGAAUGCUUGGUGUAGAGGUGAAAUUCGUAGAUAUCAAGCAGAACACCUGCGGCGAAGGCGGCCUUCUGGACGAUGACUGACGCUGAGACACGAAAGCGUGGGUAGCAAACAGG
rnacentral:rRNA from 1 species